GUUUUAAUAAUUUAUAAAAAAUAGUGGUCUUGUAAACCAAAAAAGAAUUAUUCUUAAAACU
rnacentral:tRNA from 1 species